rnacentral:tRNA from 1 species
GCCGGGGUGGCGGAACGGUAGACGCAGCGGUCUCAAAAACCGCCGGGGGCAACCCCGUGUGGGUUCGACUCCCACUCCCGGCA